UACGAAGGGGGCUAGCGUUGUCCGGAAUCACUGGGCGUAAAGGGUGCGUAGGCGGGUCUUUAGGUCAGGGGUGAAAUCCUGGAGCUCAACUCCAGAACUGCCUUCGAUACUGGGAGUCUCGAGUCCGGGAGAGGUGAGUGGAACUGCGAGUGUAGAGGUGAAAUUCGUAGAUAUUCGCAAGAACACCAGUGGCGAAGGCGGCUCACUGGCCCGGUACUGACGCUGAGGUGCGAAAGCGUGGGGAGCAAACAGG
rnacentral:rRNA from 1 species